rnacentral:sRNA from 1 species
GCUGGGUGCAGAGGUGCACACCUGUAAUCCCAGUGACUUGGAGGCUGAGGCAAGAGGAUCAGAAGUUCUAGACUAUCGUUAGCAACUCAGUGAGACCCUGUCUCAA